UGGGGAAUCUUGCACAAUGGACGAAAGUCUGAUGCAGCAACGCCGCGUGGGGGAUGAAGCUUCUCGGAGUGUAAACCCCUUUCGACCUGGAAGAAUGCCCGCAAGGGUUUGACGGUACAGGUAUAAGAAGCCCCGGCUAACUACGUGCCAGCAGCCGCGGUAAUACGUAGGGGGCCAGCGUUGCUCGGAAUUACUGGGCGUAAAGGGUCCGUAGGCGGUGUGGUAAGUCGGGAGUGAAAUCUCUGGGCUUAACCCAGAGGCUGCUUCCGAAACUGCCGUGCUAGAGUGUGAGAGAGGCGAGUGGAAUUACGGGUGUAGCGGUGAAAUGCGUAGAUAUCCGUAGGAACAUCCGAGGCGAAGGCGGCUCGCUGGAUCACAACUGACGCUGAGGGACGAAAGCUAGGGGAGCAAACAGGAUUAGAUACCCUGGUAGUCCUAGCCCUAAACCAUCAGGACUUGGGGUUUGCCCUGUACGGGGCAAGUCCCGUAGCUAACGCGUUAAGUCCUGCGCCUGGGGAGUACGGUCGCAAGACUG
rnacentral:rRNA from 1 species